AAGAAAAUGGCCCUUAGCCGACUGAUGGGCCAACACUUUGCCAGCGGCUAGUUUAAAUGGCUGCUGGCAGGGUCCCUAUGUAUAAAAGAAAAAAAGCCCUAACCUAAUUCCCUCUCUCAAGUGGCGCCGCACAACCCUCUCUCUCUUACUCUCCCUCCCUCUCUCUGCCUCUCCUCUCCCUCUCGUGCGCUCUCCCUCUCUCUGCUGCUCCCUCUCCCUCUCUCUAACCCUCUCUCUCUUACUCUCCCUCCCUCUCUUUGCCACUCCUCUCCCUCUUGUGCGCUCUCCCUCUCUCUGUCGCUCCCUCUCCGACACUCUCCCUCUUGCACGGUCUUCCUCUCCCUCACCCUCUCCGCUCUCUCUCUCUCUCUCUCUCUCUCUCUCUCUCUCUCUCUCUCUCUCUCUCUCUCCUCGGCCCUCCACUGCAACAUCAGGUAUCUCUCUCCGCUUGAUCUACCGCACAUCAAGGAGCAUUCUGUUGCAACAUCAGGGUUUUGACAACCGAUUUGGAGGUUUUGGUGUUAACUACAAUAUUCCCUGGUAGCCCUUUGUUGAUGGACUAGCCAGUGUAUCUAGUAGAGAUAGGUUUUGGCAUAUACUUUCCUUUUCAUUGAGUAUUAGGUCCUUUAUCUUAUUCUUUAAUGGACGUUCCUCUCUUUUCACCAACAGUAAUUUGGUGGCUAGCUUUCCAUAUACAGAAAGAGAUCGGGUUGUAGAAUGCUUUAGAGCGAACUACCCCUAUUCUGGGAAAGCAAAGAGUAAGUAUAAAGAUCAAGAACUGUGGCUUUUGUCUGUCGAAAUUAUAUAGCCAUGUAAUUUUUACUCAUGGUAUCUGAGGAAAUUUCUUUAUGUUUUGACUCUACAUGAAAAUAAAUUUGAAUUCCAUGCAUUUGCAGACUAUGAAUAAUUCAUAAAUUGUGG